CUUCGUCAAGGACUGCCUUUUUGCCCUUGAGCAUCCCAAACCCUAAAACCCAAAGCAACACGUUAACUCCUUCUACUACAGAUGAGUAAGUCUCCAAAGGUCGAGCAUCCGGUAGAUUGCGUAGUGACGUCGUUCGUCCAAAACCCAAUCCAUAACCCCAUAGUUAGCCGAACUACGACUUGCUCUAAUUCUCAUUCCAGAUGAGAUACAUAGGCAUAAGACGCGAUGUCUUAGCGAGCACACAU
rnacentral:lncRNA from 1 species